UAAUAAGAACACCUGUCCUCUAGUCACUAUACCUAGAUCAUCAGCUAAUUUCAUAGGGCCAUCAAAAGCUCAGUUGGUUAUCAGUGAUGACCUUUGCUGAAUUCCAGCUGGUGACAUUGAGAUGGAAAGCUAUGCUUGCUAUUACCAGCCGCAAUCAGAUGGUACAUCUGGAAGGUCUUGGACCCCUGAAGAUAUUCGAGUUGUUGGACCUCCUUUCCACUGGGCUGCUUCUCAGACUGGAGUUACUUUACAGGCAGAACGGUUACAGUCUGUUGUUUUAUUUUGGAUAUGGAAAUUUGGCUCCAGACAGCAUGAGUGACAUCCUUUUACUGAGCAAAGUGUGGAUGUGAGGCCUUCUACAUCAGCUGUUUUGUUCUGCAGACCUACUGCAAAGCUACACUGCUAAUCCAUACACAACCCUGAAGGCCAUGGAGUAUCUAACUCGGAAAAUGCUGAACUUCUUUGAAAGUCUUUAGGCAAGAGGGAGAAAGACUGGGAUUCCACCCUGCGUGGUUAAAUGUAGGUAUCUUAAAGACUAUUCAACAAGUCCUUUUGAAGAUAGGUAGCAUCAUGGGCAAAAUGGACCUUGACACAUUUACACAUUUUUAUUUGUCUGAAAGAAAUCUCUAGAGGGUAAUUUCAUUGUCAAUUUAGCACAGAAAUAUAAAUGGUCAUCAUGACUACAAAUGAAAUAUGACGGUACCUUAAAAAAUUAAAAAGUCAUUCUCUUAGACUGUGUCUGUGCAUGUAAACAAAACAGGACAAGGGAAAGAGUGCAGACUCUGCGUGGGUGGUCUUGGACCCUAUUUGAGCCCAUGGGUUUUUAGGCUAUGCUCACUGGAGCUGCCUGGAUGAGGCUUGGGCACAGGCCUUGGCAGUGUCAGUGAAAAGACAUCAGGAAGGGCCCUCUCCAUUUUCCAUAGUCCUCCACUUCUGCUGCAGCUGGCUUUUGUGUCCUCCAAACACUCCUAUGUGCCUUUGUGCUGCUUUCCACAGCGUGGAGGCACAUGGGCUGCAACAAACUGCACAACAGGUUUCAGAUUAUAUGAGUUUAAAAGCACACAAGAUAUAACUACAUAUUAGGGCCAUAAAAGUAAUACAUGAAACCUGGUGGAGGCACAGGCCAUUUUCACCUUCACUGUGAUUCCACUUGGUAUUUUGUCCAUGAAGUCAUUUUGAUUUCAUUCAGUCCAAAUGUCUGCUUCAUUAAAAAGUGCAGAGCCAUAAAUAAACCUUAGAGAAGAAAAAGAAAGAAUUUCAAGCCUUAGGUAUUUUACAUAAUAGUUUUCCUAGAAAGGUAUUUUCCUGUUUUAGUGUCUCCAUUUCAUUGUUAUUCUUGUCAAUUAUAAACACAUUAUUGUCUGAUGUGGUUUUUAUUUCCUCACAAAUGAAUAAAAGCCAUGGUGUUUAAAAAGCAAUCUCUAUACAGAGUGGGAGGAAUUGAAACUGAAUCAAUGAGGAAGGAAGACUGUCUCUUUCUGGGUUUGUUUUGCCUCCUCACAUUAAAACAUGUUUUGAAGAACCUAGUGGGGUGCUGAAAGCUGGAUAAUUUUUAUCAAGAUGUUUUGUUUGUGUACUGCUGGUGUUUCUUAACUAUGUGCACAAGAUAAAAGACUGUAAUAUGUCUCCCAAUAAAAUCUUUAACCUUUAGUAA